UACGGGGGGGGCAAGCGUUGUUCGGAAUUACUGGGCGUAAAGGGCUCGUAGGUGGCCAACUAAGUCAGACGUGAAAUCCCUCAGCUUAACUGGGGAACUGCGUCUGAUACUGGAUGGCUUGAGUUUGGGAGAGGGACGCGGAAUUCCAGGUGUAGCGGUGAAAUGCGUAGAUAUCUGGAGGAACACCAGUGGCGAAAGCGGCUUCCUGGUCCAGCACCGACGUUCAGGCACGAAAGCGUGGGGAGCAAACAGG
rnacentral:rRNA from 1 species